GUCUAUGACCAUACCACCCUGAACACACCUGAUCUCAUCUGAUCUCAGAAGCUAAGCAAGGUCGGGCCUGAUACUUGGUACUUGGAUGGGAGGAAGCUUGGAAUGGGAGUGGGAAGAGGGUGUGGGGG
rnacentral:rRNA from 1 species